UGUUAAGAAGUUGUUUUUUUUUUUCUAGAAGGCUCUAUUUGGUUACUAGGGAAUAAAGCUUUUCAAUGCAUACCAUUUCUCUGAAGCACUGCAGUUUUAACUUGUGUUCAUGGAAUUUGAUAGUACAAUUUUGGAUGCUAAAAUCCCUUUGUACUUGUCUAGGUUUGUUUCUUUACCAUGCACAGAAGGUAGUAUAGUUGUCUUCUUUGAAGAUGAUGAAUGCCUAAGAGAUAAUUGCCUAAUAGGAAUCUAGACUUUUAGACCUUACCAAAACAUUAGCCACGUGACAGGUUACCUAGACAUUUUGGAUCCUUUCAGAGGGCCCAAAGUUAUGUUGUAGAUUAGUAGAGUUCAGUGAAGAAAAAGGGUUGGGAAGAUUGAUGUAGUUUAUUGCUUGAGGUGAGUAUGUAACAUCUGUUCCCCGGGAACUGUAGGAGAAAGCUGAGCACGGGGAGGAAAUGCAGGUAUGAAUGGGCAUGCAGAAUUAAUUCAGGACCUCAAGAAGAGCCUGCAACUUUGCAACUCCCCAGGAACAAAAGUGUUUUAAUCUACCGGUGUGUAUAACAUCAUGUUGUGUGGUCCAGUCAGGUAAACCACUACAUCUUUGUAUGUUACAGGAGCAGCUACUUAACUGUAUGUAAAGGAUGUAUUUAAGAGAAAGAGUGAAUUUAGAGACUUCUCCUAACAGUGGAUUCAGAAACUUCUCUGAAGAAUUCGUUAGAUUUUCAUUAUUUCCCAGAAUGCUGAAGGAAGCAUAGGGAUACCAAACAGAAAUGCAAGGAAACCAAUAAAAUCUUUAGUGAAU